GACGAACGCUGGCGGCGUGCUUAACACAUGCAAGUCGAGCGGUAAGGCCCUUUCGGGGGUACACGAGCGGCGAACGGGUGAGUAACACGUGGGUGACCUGCCCUCAGCUCUGGGAUAAGCCUGGGAAACUGGGUCUAAUACUGGAUAUGACUCCACGGUGCAUGUCGUGGGGUGGAAAGCCUUGUGCGGCCGAGGAUGGGCCCGCGGCCUAUCAGCUUGUUGGUGGGGUGAUGGCCUACCAAGGCGACGACGGGUAGCCGGCCUGAGAGGGCGACCGGCCACACUGGGACUGAGACACGGCCCAGACUCCUACGGGAGGCAGCAGUGGGGAAUCUUGCGCAAUGGGCGAAAGCCUGACGCAGCGACGCCGCGUGAGGGAUGACGGCCU
rnacentral:rRNA from 1 species